GAUACUGUUAGAGAUGAAUGGACUAAUCAAAUAUGGGCAAAUAGGGGUAAUGCUCACAUCUAGAUGCAUGUAUUAGGUUAUUGCACUUUGUAUUCUGGAUAAUGUAUGCUCCUAAGCUUAUGCAUUGGACAAGUUUGUAUGUUGUUUGCUUAAUCCAUUUACUUUGAACUGAGGCAUUGGACAAGUGUGCAAUGAUGAAUUAUUUAUUAUGUUUCAUUUGAACUGAGGCAUUGGACAAGUGUGCAAUGAUGAAUUAUUUAUUCUGUUUCCUUUGAACUGAGGCAUUGGAUAAGUGUGCAAUGAUGAAUUAUUCAUUCUGUUUCAUUCUUAGCUGAGGCAUUGGAUAUUAUGCAAUGAUGACUUGAUUUGUUUACUUAGCUGAGGCAUUAGGCAUUAUGCAAUGAUGAUUUCUUAUUCUGUUUACUCUUUGCUGAGGCAAUGGGCAUUAUGCAAUGAUGAUUUCUUGAUAUGUUUACUCUUUGCUGAGGCAAUGGUCAUUAUGCAAUGAUGAUUUGUUGUUCCAUGUUUACUUCCUUCCUUCAUUUUCUCUGCCCUAUUAUGCUCCCUUCCUUGAUUUCCUUUUCCCUAUUAUGUUCC
rnacentral:lncRNA from 1 species